rnacentral:rRNA from 1 species
ACGCUCGACACCUACGGGAGGCAGCAGUGGGGAAUAUUGCACAAUGGGGGAAACCCUGAUGCAGCGACGCCGCGUGAAGGAAGAAGUAUCUCGGUAUGUAAACUUCUAUCAGCAGGGAANAAAGUGACGGUACCUGACUAAGAAGCCCCGGCUAACUACGUGCCACAGCCGCGGUAAUUCUGAGGCGGGCUGGCAAGGC